rnacentral:rRNA from 1 species
AGAGUUUGAUCCUGGCUCAGGAUGAGCGCUGGCGGCGUGCCUAAUACAUGCAAGUCGAGCGGUAACAGGGGUAGCUUGCUACCCGCUGACGAGCGGCGGACGGCUGAGUAACGCGUAGGAACGUACCCCGAAGUGAGGGAUAACUGCCCGAAAGGGUGGCUAAUACCGCAUGUGCUCUACGGAGUAAAGCUUCGGCGCUUCGGGAGCGGCCUGCGUCCGAUUAGCUAGUUGGUGAGGUAAUGGCUCACCAAGGCGACGAUCGGUAGCUGGUCUGAGAGGAUGAUCAGCCAGACUGGGACUGAGACACGGCCCAGACUCCUACGGGAGGCAGCAGUAGGGAAUUUUCCACAAUGGGCGAAAGCCUGAUGGAGCAACGCCGCGUGCAGGAUGAAGGCCUUCGGGUUGUAAACUGCUUUUCUCUGUGACGAUUAUGACGGUAGCAGAGGAAUAAGGGCCUGCUAACUACGUGCCAGCAGCCGCGGUCAUACGUAGGGCCCAAGCGUUAUCCGGAAUUACUGGGCGUAAAGAGUUGCGUAGGUGGCUCGGUAAGUAGAUAGUGAAAGCGUGUGGCUCAACCAUACAUCCAUUAUCUAAACUGCCGUAGCUAGAGGGCGAGAGAGGUAGAUGGAAUUCCUGAUGUAGGGGUAAUAUCCGUAGAUAUCAGGAGGAACACCGAUGGCGUAGGCAGUCUACUGGCUCGUUCCUGACACUAAGGCACGAAAGCGUGGGGAGCGACCGGGAUUAGAUACCCCGUUAGUCCACGCCGUAAACGAUGGAUGCUAGCUGUUGGAGGUAUCGACCCCUUCAGUAGCGAAGCUAACGCGUUAAGCAUCCCGCCUGUGGAGUACGAGCGCAAGCUUAAAACAUAAAGGAAUUGACGGGGACCCGCACAAGCGGUGGAGCGUGUUGUUUAAUUCGAUGGUAAGCGAAGAACCUUACCCAGGCUUGACAUCCCGAGAAGGCUUCCGAAAGGAAACCGUGCCGCAAGGAACUCGGUGACAGGUGAUGCAUGGCCGUCGUCAGCUCGUGUCGUGAGAUGUUUGGUUAAGUCCAUCAACGAGCGCAACCCUUAUAGCUAGUUGGACUUCUCUAGCUAGACUGCCC